rnacentral:rRNA from 1 species
GAGUUUGAUCUUGGCUCAGAUUGAACGCUGGCGGCAUGCCUUACACAUGCAAGUCGAACGGUAACAGGUUAAGCUGACGAGUGGCGAACGGGUGAGUAAUACAUCGGAACGUGCCCAGACGUGGGGGAUAGCUCGGCGAAAGCCGGAUUAAUACCGCAUGUGAUCUGAGGAUGAAAGCGGGGGACCGUAAGGCCUCGCGCGUUUGGAGCGGCCGAUGGCAGAUUAGGUAGUUGGUGGGGUAAAGGCUUACCAAGCCUACGAUCUGUAGCUGGUCUGAGAGGACGACCAGCCACACUGGGACUGAGACACGGCCCAGACUCCUACGGGAGGCAGCAGUGGGGAAUUUUGGACAAUGGGCGCAAGCCUGAUCCAGCAAUGCCGCGUGCAGGAUGAAGGCCUUCGGUUGUAAC